CAGUAACGGGUAAACAGUCCACAGAAAUAACGCUCAGAAAUGAUCACCUUAGCAAAUCAAGACUUUGCGAUGUAAUGGAGUGUGUGAAGGGCUUAAAUAGUGUGUGGCUGCGUCCGAAACCGCCUACUUCUCUACUAUUUAGUAGGGGAAAAGCAGUAGGCGAGCGAAUAAGUAUGUCUGAAGCAAAAAGAGUAGGCGAAAAUUACCUGCGUGACGUACUAAUUCUCGCGAGAUUCGGACGUGUGCCUACUUAAAGUGCGUCCGAAACCGCCUACUUACCUACUAUAUAAUAGGGGAAAGCAGUAGGCGAGCAAUUAAGUAUGUCAGAAGCCUCAGUAAUCAUAAAAUAGUAGUCGAGGAGUUCCCGGAUGGCCUACUGCUUCCGCCCAGAUUCUGAAGUAUUCCUUGCUGGAUACUUUUCUAUCCCAGCAGGCCACGGGAGAGGAUACGUCAUAAUCGAACACGGAGGAGAAAAGCGGCGCGGAUGCUGUCAAAUAGCUUUGGUGGAGCAGGACCUGCAAGAAAAGCUGACGACAGUAUUUGUUAGAAAAAAAAGAGGAAAACCUGAAACAAAAUAAAAAUAUAUAUAAAGAUGUGAAUGUCCUCAGACUGGUGAGAGCACUGAGGAUGGAGAGACACAGAUCCUGGGAAUGGUUCAGUGUUAUGGACGAGAUCCUCCAUCACUCCUCCUUUCAAGUGACUCAAUCAAGGACACACUGGAGGAGACGCUGCAGAGAUCGAACCAGCAACCUUCUGCUGACCAGCUCAGUGGUUUAGACCACCACACCACAAAACUAAUGAAGCCAUGACAAGAAUUAGCAAUUGAAAAAUAUGAAAUGAAAUAUGCAAGAAACAGAAUGCUGACAUGAAUUAAUUGUAAAAUGUUUUAAUCUGCUGAUGGAGAGCACAUGAAUGUUUGCAGCAGCAGAUUGUCCCGCACAUCUUCUCCCACUCCUGCUCCAAGGUUGAGGGGUUCAGGGGUCCAUCUUCAUCAUCAUCAUCAUCUUCAGCAGUGAGGAACAUGAUGAUGAAGGUGUUCAUCAGCUGCUUGAUCAGAAUAAAGCUGCAGAAUUGGCACAUCUGUGUUGAGAUGACAGCAGGACUGUAAAUACCUGAUUGUUAGAUCAAUACAUUUGAAUAAAGCUUUGUUUCGUGUGUUGUUGACUUGUAUAUGCAUUUAUUUGUCAUUAUUACUUUUAUUAAUUCUUUACUUAUUAAUUAUGCUAUUAUCAGUAAAUGUAUAUAUUUUAAUAAGCAAUGAAUUAAUACAUGAAUUGACUGUAAAUGGAGAUGUAUUCACAUCAGCUGUAUUUGUCUAGUGUGUGUUCAUGCACAGCUGUCACAACUAAACAUUACAUUUUGCUUGUUUUAUUAAAGAAGUAAAAUGAAAAGUAA